rnacentral:rRNA from 2 species
UGUUUCGGCUAGGGGGUCAUCCCGACUUACCAACCCGAUGCAAACUACGAAUACCGAAGAAUGUUAUCACGGGAGACACACGGCGGGUGCUAACGUCCGUCGUGAAGAGGGAAACAACCCAGACCGCCAGCUAAGGUCCCAAAGUCAUGGUUAAGUGGGAAACGAUGUGGGAAGGCACAGACAGCCAGGAUGUUGGCUUAGAAGCAGCCAUCAUUUAAAGAAAGCGUAAUAGCUCACUGGUCGAGUCGGCCUGCGCGGAAGAUGUAACGGGGCUAAACCAUGCACCGAAGCUGCGGCAGCGACACUAUGUGUUGUUGGGUAGGGG